GACGAACGCUGGCGGCGUGCCUAACACAUGCAAGUCGAACGGAGUCGAGGAGCUUGCUCCUUAACUUAGUGGCGGACGGGUGAGUAACGCGUGAGUAACCUGCCUCUGAGAGGGGAAUAACGUUCUGAAAAGGACGCUAAUACCGCAUAACACAUAUUUGCCGCAUGACAGAUAUGUCAAAGAUUUUAUCGCUCGGAGAUGGACUCGCGUCCGAUUAGUUAGUUGGUGAGGUAACGGCUCACCAAGACCGCGAUCGGUAGCCGGACUGAGAGGUUGAUCGGCCACAUUGGGACUGAGACACGGCCCAGACUCCUACGGGAGGCAGCAGUGGGGAAUAUUGCGCAAUGGGGGCAACCCUGACGCAGCAACGCCGCGUGAAGGAUGAAGGUCUUCGGAUCGUAAACUUUUGUCUUAUGGAAGAACAAGGACGGUACCAUAGGAGAAAAAGCAAACGGCUAAACUACGUAG
rnacentral:rRNA from 1 species